rnacentral:misc_RNA from 1 species
UUUCCGUAGGUGAACCUGCGGAAGGAUCAUUAGUGAUUUUACCAAGGCCGUGAGGCCGGGCGUCGCAAGACGCCGAACCAUCUAUCAAAACAAACUGUGCACGCCUUCGGGCAUUACAAACCAUUAGUAAUGAAUGUAAAACAAACAAGUUAAUACAACUUUCAACAACGGAUCUCUUGGCUCUCGCAUCGAUGAAGAACGCAGC